AGGUGUGUGAGGAGCGAAAUUAGGAAAGACACCGAGACGAAACACGGCCAGUCGUCGGUGUCUUUUCUUGU
rfam:Anabaena sp. 90 chromosome chANA01, complete sequence.